rnacentral:rRNA from 1 species
CGUAGUGGCGGACGGGUGAGUAACGCGUGGGUAACCUGCCUCACACUGGGGGACAACAGUUAGAAAUGACUGCUAAUACCGCAUAAGCGCACAGGACCGCAUGGUCCGGUGUGAAAAACUCCGGUGGUGUGAGAUGGACCCGCGUUUGAUUAGCUAGUUGGUGGGGUAACGGCCUACCAAGGCGACGAUCAAUAGCCGACCUGAGAGGGUGACCGGCCACAUUGGGACUGAGACACGGCCCAA